AGGGCGUACGGUGAAUGCCUUGGUGCCAACAGGCGAAGAAGGACGCGGCAAGCUGCGAAAAGCCUCGGGAAGCUGCAAGCAAGCGAUGAUCCGGGGAUAUCCGAAUGGGGUAACCUGAUCGAGGCAAUACUCGAUCGUUCAUACCUGAAUACAUAGGGUAUGAAACGCGAAACCCGCUGAAGUGAAACAUCUCAGUAAGCGGAGGAAAAGAAAGAGAAAUCGAUUCCGUAAGUAGUGGCGAGCGAAAGCGGAUGGAGCCCAAACCGAAGGUAUUCCUUCGGGGUUGUAGGACCACGUCAUAUUCGACCAUACUGGAUAGUAGAACAGCCUGGAAAGGCUGGCCGGAGAAGGUGAAAGCCCUGUAGACGAAAUCCAGAGUGGGAAUUAGUGGUAUCCUGAGUAAUACAUCACACGUGGAACGAUGUAUGAACCCGCGCGGACCACCGCGCAAGGCUAAAUACUAGUUGGCGACCGAUAGUGAACAAGUACCGUGAGGGAAAGGUGAAAAGAACCGCUGUGAGCGGAGUGAAAUAGAACCUGAAACCGUAUGUCUACAAAGUGUCAGAGCAGAGCAAUCUGCGAUGGCGUGCCUUUUGUUUAAUGAGUCUGCGAGUCAGUGUUUGUGGCAAGACUAAGGGCUUCCGGCCCGGAGUCGCAGCGAAAGCAAGUCCGAACAGGGCGCAAUAAGUCGCAGGUACUGGACCCGAAGCGGAGGUGACCUACCCUUGGCCAGGUUGAAGCAUGGGUAAAACCAUGUGGAGGACCGAACAGGUGAACGUUGAAAAGUUCUCUGAUGAGCUGAGGGUAGGAGUGAAAGGCUAAUCAAACCCCGUGAUAGCUGGUUCUCUUCGAAAUGCAUUUAGGUGCAGCGUCACGUGCUGAUGCGCGGGGGUAGAGCACUGACAAGGCUAGGGGGCACACCCGCUUACCAAACCUUAUCAAACUCCGAAUACCGUGCAAUGGAACGUGGCAGUGAGACAGUGGGGGAUAAGCUUCAUUGUCGAGAGGGAAACAACCCAGACCAGCAGCUAAGGUGCCUAAAUAACGCUCAGUGGAAAGGAUGUGGGAUUACACAGACAGUGAGGAUGUUGGCUUAGAAGCAGCCACCAUUUAAAAAAUGCGUAAUAGCUUACUCAUCGAGUGAUCCUGCGCCGAAAAUGAUUGGCGAUCAAGCGUUAUACCGAAGCUCUGGACUUUGCCGCAAGGCAGAGUGGUAGAAGAGCGUUGCAUGCGCGUCGAAGGGCGAUGGCGACUGACCCUGGAGCACAUGCAAGUGAGUAUGCAGACAUGAGUAACGUUAAGCCGGGUGAAAUCCCCGGCCGCCGUAAACCCGAGGUUUCCAGGGCAACGUGUUUCGUCCCUGGGUUAGCCGGGACCUAAGCCGAGGCCGAGAGGCGUAGGCGAUGGACAUCAGGUUAAUAAUCCUGAGCUCGCAACCCUUAAACUGGGGGGACGCAUGAGAAAAGAUGACUAGGUUAUUGAAUUCCGAGUUGAGUCUACGGACUCAGCGCAUCAUUGGAUCGAGUGCCAAGAAAAGCCCCAGCGUAUGCUAAGCGACCCGUACCGCAAACCGACACAGGUGGGUGGGUAGAAUAUACCAAGGCGUAAGAGUGAAACCUGGUUAAGGAACUCGGCAAAUUAGCCCCGUAACUUCGGAAGAAGGGGUGCCUGCAGCGAUGCAGGCCGCAGAGAAAUGGCCCAACCGACUGUUUAUCAAAAACACAGCACUCUGCAAAGACGCAAGUCGAAGUAUAGGGUGUGACACGUGACCAAUGCCGAAAGAUUAAGGCAAGGGGUUAGCCGCAAGGCGAAGCUCUAAACCCAAGUCCCGGUGAAUGUCGGCCGUAACUAUAACGGUCCUAAGGUAGCGAAAUUCCUUGUCGGGUAAGUUCCGACCUGCACGAAUCGUGAAACGAGUUGGGCACUGUCUCAACCAGGCGCUCAGUGAAAUUGUAGUGGCGGUGAAGAUGCCGCCUACCCGCAGAAGGACGGAAAGACCCUAUAGACCUUAACUGUAAGCUGUCAUUGUUUCUUCGGUUUUAAUGCUCAGAGUAAGUGGGAGACGCUGAAGACGCCCUUUAGGGGGCGUCCGAGUCAUCAAUGAGACACCACCCUUUGAAACUGGAGGAUCUAACCCUGAGCCGUGAAUCCGGCCAGAGGACCGUGUCAGCCGGUCAGUUUUACUGGGGCGGUAUCCUCCCAAAGAGUAACGGAGGAGCGCGAAGGUGGGCUCAGCCCGGUUGGCAACCGGGUGUCGAGUGCAUGGGCAUAAGCCCGCCUAACUGUGAGACCAACAAGUCGAGCAGAUGCGAAAGCAGGCCCAAGUGAUCCGGCGGUAGAAAGUGGAAUUGCCGUCGCUCAACGGAUAAAAGGUACCUUAGGGAUAACAGGCUGAUCACGCCCAAGAGUUCAUAUCGACGGCGUGGUUUGGCACCUCGAUGUCGGCUCGUCGCAUCCUGGGGCUGGAGAAGGUCCCAAGGGUCCGGCUGUUCGCCGGUUAAAGCGGCACGCGAGCUGGGUUCAGAACGUCGCGAGACAGUUCGGUCCUCUAUCCUCUGUGGGCGUUGGAAAAUUGAGGGGUUCAGACCUUAGUACGAGAGGACCGGGUCUGACGCACCACUGGUGCAUCGGUUGUACUGUCAAGUGCAUGGCCGAGUAGCUAAGUGCGGACGGGAUAAGCGCUGAAAGCAUCUAAGCGCCAAGCCCUUCCCAAGAUGAGUUUUCCCUACAGGUUCGUGGAAGACCACCACGUUGAUAGGUCGCAGGUGUAAGUGCAGCAAUGUAUUGAGCCGAGCGAUACUAAUUACCAAUUGACUUCAUC
rnacentral:rRNA from 1 species